rnacentral:rRNA from 1 species
GACGAACGCUGGCGGCGUGCCUAAUACAUGCAAGUCGAACGCUUCUUUCCUCCCGAGUGCUUGCACUCAAUUGGAAAGAGGAGUGGCGGACGGGUGAGUAACACGUGGGUAACCUACCCAUCAGAGGGGGAUAACACUUGGAAACAGGUGCUAAUACCGCAUAACAGUUUAUGCCGCAUGGCAUAAGAGUGAAAGGCGCUUUCGGGUGUCGCUGAUGGAUGGACCCGCGGUGCAUUAGCUAGUUGGUGAGGUAACGGCUCACCAAGGCCACGAUGCAUAGCCGACCUGAGAGGGUGAUCGGCCACACUGGGACUGAGACACGGCCCAGACUCCUACGGGAGGCAGCAGUAGGGAAUCUUCGGCAAUGGACGAAAGUCUGACCGAGCAACGCCGCGUGAGUGAAGAAGGUUUUCGGAUCGUAAAACUCUGUUGUUAGAGAAGAACAAGGACGUUAGUAACUGAACGCCCCCUGACGGUAUCUAACCAGAAAGCCACGGCUAACUACGUGCCAGCAGCCGCGGUAAUACGUAGGUGGCAAGCGUUGUCCGGAUUUAUUGGGCGUAAAGCGAGCGCAGGCGGUUUCUUAAGUCUGAUGUGAAAGCCCCCGGCUCAACCGGGGAGGGUCAUUGGAAACUGGGAGACUUGAGUGCAGAAGAGGAGAGUGGAAUUCCAUGUGUAGCGGUGAAAUGCGUAGAUAUAUGGAGGAACACCAGUGGCGAAGGCGGCUCUCUGGUCUGUAAUGGACGUGGAGGCUCGAAAGCGUGGGGAGCAAACAGGAUUAGAUACCCUGGUAGUCCACGCCGUAAACGAUGAGUGCUAAUUGUUGGAGGGUUUCCGCCCUUCAGUGCUGCAGCAAACGCAUUAAGCACUCCGCCUGGGGAGUACGACCGCAAGGUUGAAACUCAAAGGAAUUGACGGGGGCCCGCACAAGCGGUGGAGCAUGUGGUUUAAUUCGAAGCAACGCGAAGAACCUUACCAGGUCUUGACAUCCUUUGACCACUCUAGAGAUAGAGCUUUCCCUUCGGGGACAAAGUGACAGGUGGUGCAUGGUUGUCGUCAGCUCGUGUCGUGAGAUGUUGGGUUAAGUCCCGCAACGAGCGCAACCCUUAUUGUUAGUUGCCAUCAUUUAGUUGAGCACUCUAGCGAGACUGCCGGUGACAAACCGGAGGAAGGUGGGGAUGACGUCAAAUCAUCAUGCCCCUUAUGACCUGGGCUACACACGUGCUACAAUGGGAAGUACAACGAGUCGCUAGACCGCGAGGUCAUGCAAAUCUCUUAAAGCUUCUCUCAGUUCGGAUUGCAGGCUGCAACUCGCCUGCAUGAAGCCGGAAUCGCUAGUAAUCGCGGAUCAGCACGCCGCGGUGAAUACGUUCCCGGGCCUUGUACACACCGCCCGUCACACCACGAGAGUUUGUAACACCCGAAGUCGGUGAGGUAACCUUUUUGGAGCCAGCCGCCUAAGGUGGGAUAGAUGAUUGGGGUG